GCGUAACGACUUCCCCGCUGUCUCAACCACGGACUCAGUGAAAUUGAAAUCUCGGUGAAGAUGCCGAGUACCCGCGGCAAGACGGAAAGACCCCGUGAACCUUUACUAUAGCUUCACAUUGAGCUUGGGUAUAAGAUGUGUAGGAUAGGUGGGAGACUGUGAAGUGGGGACGCUAGUCCUUGUGGAGUCGACGUUGAAAUACCACCCUUCUUAUACUUAGGUUCUAACUUCACGCAAAUGAAGGACAUUGUGUGGUGGGUAGUUUGACUGGG
rnacentral:rRNA from 1 species